GCCCGGCUAGCUCAGUCGGUAGAGCAUGAGACUCUUAAUCUCAGGGUAGUGGGUUUAGGCCCCACGCUGGGCA